GAUUGAGAGUUGUUUAGAGGUUUUUUGUGGGAUUGAUCGAGAUCAUGCUAGAUGUAGGUAGUGGUAAUGGUACUACUUUAGGCAUUACCCUUGGAUUACUCGAAGGAUCAACUUUGACCUUCCUCAUGUUGUGUCUGUUGCUAAGGAGAUUGAUCGAGUUGAGAAUGUUGAAGGUGAUGAUGACAUGUUUGAUUGUUUUCCAAAGACCGAUGCUGUUAGAUCAAGUGGGUUCUUCAUGAUUGGGGAGAUGAGGAAUGCAUCCGUAUACUGAAAUAUGUAAGGAUGCGAUUCCUGGGGGGAAAAGGAGAAGGUGAUAAUAAUGGAAGCUGUUAUUGAAGAAGAUGAGUUCAAAGAGAAGAGCUGACCGAUGUGAGAUUGAUUUUGGACAUGGUGAUGAUACUAACAGUCUAACACUGGCAAAGAGAGGACUUUCAAGGAAUGUGGAUAUGUUCUCGGGGAGCUGGCUUUGGCCAACACACGGUCACGCC